GGUGGGUAGAUGACUGGGUGAAGUCGUAACAAGGUAUCCGUACCGGAAGGUGCGGAUGGAUCACCUCCUUUCUAUGGAGA
rnacentral:rRNA from 1 species